GACGAACGCUGGCGGCGUGCUUAACACAUGCAAGUCGAACGGAAAGGCCCUGCUUUUGUGGGGUGCUCGAGUGGCGAACGGGUGAGUAACACGUGAGUAACCUGCCCUUGACUUUGGGAUAACUUCAGGAAACUGGGGCUAAUACCGGAUAGGAGCUCCUGCUGCAUGGUGGGGGUUGGAAAGUUUCGGCGGUUGGGGAUGGACUCGCGGCUUAUCAGCUUGUUGGUGGGGGAGUGGCUUACCAAGGCUUUGACGGGUAGCCGGCCUGAGAGGGUGACCGGCCACAUUGGGACUGCGAUACGGACCAGACUCCUACGGGAGGCAGUAGUGGGGAAUAUUGCACAAUGGGCGGACGCCUGAUGCAGCAACGCCGCGUGCGGGAUGACGGCCUUCGGGUUGUAAACCGCUUUCGCCUGUGACGAAGCGUGAGUGACGGUAAUGGGUAAAGAAGCACCGGCUAACUACGUG
rnacentral:rRNA from 1 species